rnacentral:misc_RNA from 1 species
GAAAUGCGAUAAGUAAUGUGAAUUGCAGAAUUCCGUGAAUCAUCGAAUCUUUGAACGCACAUUGCGCCCGCCAGUAUUCUGGCGGGCAUGCCUGUUCGAGCGUCAUUUCAACCCUCAAGCCCCCGGGCUUGGUGUUGGGGCUCGGCCCGUCCCUAGCGGCGCGCCGUCCCCGAAAUCUAGUGGCGGUCACGCUGUACUCCUCUGCGUAGUAAUCUAACCUCGCAACGGGACAAAGCGCGGCCACGCCGUUAAACCCCCAACUUCUGAAGGUUGACCUCGGAUCAGGUAGGAAUACCCGCUGAACUUAA